rnacentral:tRNA from 1 species
AAGGUUAGCUCAGCUGGUUUAGAGCACCUGCCUUACAAGCAGGGGGUCACUGGUUCGAAUCCAGUACCUUCC